rnacentral:ncRNA from 1 species
UGAUAGCGAUGAAGCGUGAGGUUGCCGCCUGAGCAAAGAAAUAAGCAACGGCGGGUUUUCCGUGGAGCGAAUGUCAAGUUAAGAAACUGGCGACAA